CAACCCUCGGUCACCACCGGUUUUGAGCCGGCUCGGGUUAGCCCCCGGCCCGGCUUCAAAGUUGUAAGCUCUGCUGGACGCGUAGCCCCAACCAGAACAUAGUAAAACUCUUGCUCGUUCGCAGGUGAAGGGCGGAAGCGGUACGGCCUGAACAAAACCUACCAAAUCUCAAG
rnacentral:misc_RNA from 1 species